rnacentral:rRNA from 1 species
AGGUCUUCGGAUGCUGACGAGUGGCGAACGGGUGAGUAAUACAUCGGAACGUGCCCGAUCGUGGGGGAUAACGAAGCGAAAGCUUUGCUAAUACCGCAUAAGAUCUACGGAUGAAAGCAGGGGACCGCAAGGCCUUGCGCGAACGGAGCGGCCGAUGGCAGAUUAGGUAGUUGGUGGGAUAAAAGCUUACCAAGCCGACGAUCUGUAGCUGGUCUGAGAGGACGACCAGCCACACUGGGACUGAGACACGGCCCAGACUCCUACGGGAGGCAGCAGUGGGGAAUUUUGGACAAUGGGCGAAAGCCUGAUCCAGCCAUGCCGCGUGCAGGAUGAAGGCCUUCGGGUUGUAAACUGCUUUUGUACGGAACGAAAAGACUCUGGUUAAUACCUGGGGUCCAUGACGGUACCGUAAGAAUAAGCACCGGCUAACUACGUGCCAGCAGCCGCGGUAAUACGUAGGGUGCAAGCGUUAAUCGGAAUUACUGGGCGUAAAGCGUGCGCAGGCGGUUAUAUAAGACAGAUGUGAAAUCCCCGGGCUCAACCUGGGAACUGCAUUUGUGACUGUAUAGCUAGAGUACGGCAGAGGGGGAUGGAAUUCCGCGUGUAGCAGUGAAAUGCGUAGAUAUGCGGAGGAACACCGAUGGCGAAGGCAAUCCCCUGGGCCUGUACUGACGCUCAUGCACGA